ACGGAAGGCAGCAGUGGGGAAUUUUGCGCAAUGGGGGAAACCCUGACGCAGCAACGCCGCGUGCGGGAUGAAGGCCUUCGGGUUGUAAACCGCUUUCAGUAGGGAAGAUUAUGACGGUACCUACAGAAGAAGCUCCGGCUAACUACGUGCCAGCAGCCGCGGUAAUACGUAGGGAGCAAGCGUUAUCCGGAUUCAUUGGGCGUAAAGCGCGCGUAGGCGGCUUGUUAAAUCAGGUGUUAAAUCGUGGGGCUCAACCCCAUCCCGCACCUGAAACUGGCAGGCUUGAGUACGGUAGGGGAAAGUGGAAUUCCCAGUGUAGCGGUGAAAUGCGCAGAUAUUGGGAAGAACACCGGUGGCGAAGGCGGCUUUCUGGGCCGUUACUGACGCUGAGGCGCGAAAGCUAGGGGAGCAAACAGGAUUAGAUACCCUGGUA
rnacentral:rRNA from 1 species